GGAGGGAGUAUUACUAUGUCCUAGUUGAUAACAUAACUUGCUAGUUUAGCUAUUCCACUGUUCAAUAACUUUUCUAAAGACAAAAAUUGAAAAUUAAAUUUCAGAUCUAAAAAGCACAGGAAGCGUAAGAGGAGGAGGAAAGAGGCACAAAGCUCUGAAAAAACAAAAUGGCGAUAACAUCUCUACAAAUUACUUUCUUCCAACCGGAUAGACACACACUUCUAAAUCUCUCACCGUCCUCACCACCGAUAUCGAAUCAACCGAGGAUACUCAACCGGAUUCAGAAACUAAAUAGAGACCAAAGACUCCGACGAAUUCGAGUCCCAUCUCUCAAUAUAUCUGACUCAUAUACCAAAGUGAGACAUGGAAGAAAGCAGAGCUGAGAAACUCUAAGAAAGAGUCAGUCGAGUCUGCUUCAAGAAGCUCGGGACUGUAUUUCCCGCCGGGGAGUGUAAAGGAUCCGGUUUCAGGUGGGUUGAAUGUGGAGUUAGGUUUUAGACCUUACACCGAACGGCUUAACGGGAGGAUUGCGGUGUUAGAGCUUGUGGUGUUUCUUCAGGUCUAUUUCACAGUAGUUGUUUCUGCUAUGUUUGUUAACAGCGAGAAGGAAAAGAAGAUGGGCGUUUGUGGACAUGGCCAACCAAAAAUACCUUUGGAGGGAUCUCAAGUAUCAAAGUUAGUGAUAUUGCCUAACGAUUAAAAUCUAUCUUGAGAUAUUAAUUACAUCAGUUGUGAAAACGUUGCUUUUCUAUUGUAAGGUGCAUGGACUUUGUAAUUUUUAAAGUAAUGGAUGUAAUGUAUAUUCAUAGGACAAUAAAAGGAUCUCACUUUGGAGUCAGCUUGUUGAA